UUCCAGACUCUUACGGGAGGCAGCAGUGGGGGAAUCUUCCGCAAAUGGACGAAAGUCUGACGGAGCAACGCCGCGUGAGUGAUGACGGCCUUCGGGUUGUAAAGCUCUGUUAAUCGGGACGAAAGGCCUUCUUGCGAAUAGUGAGAAGGAUUGACGGUACCGGAAUAGAAAGCCACGGCUAACUACGUGCCAGCAGCCGCGGUAAUACGUAGGUGGCAAGCGUUGUCCGGAAUUAUUGGGCGUAAAGCGCGCGCAGGCGGAUCGGUCAGUCUGUCUUAAAAGUUCGGGGCUUAACCCCGUGAUGGGAUGGAAACUGCCAAUCUAGAGUAUCGGAGAGGAAAGUGGAAUUCCUAGUGUAGCGGUGAAAUGCGUAGAUAUUAGGAAGAACACCAGUGGCGAAGGCGACUUUCUGGACGAAAACUGACACUGAGGCGCGAAAGCCAGGGGAGCGAACGGGAUUAGAUACCCCGGUAGUCCUGGCCGUAAACGAUGGGUACUAGGUGUAGGAGGUAUCGACCCCUUCUGUGCCGGAGUUAACGCAAUAAGUACCCCGCCUGGGGAGUACGACCGCAAGGUUGAAACUCAAAGGAAUU
rnacentral:rRNA from 1 species